rnacentral:rRNA from 1 species
AUCAGGUAGGGACACCCGCUGAACUUAAGCAUAUCAAUAAGCGGAGGAAAAGAAAAUAACAAUGAUUCCCCUAGUAACUGCGAGUGAAGAGGGACAAGCUCAAAUUUUAAAUCUGUUAGGUUUCACCUGGCCGAGUUGUAAUUUGAAGAAGCGUUUUCUGCGUCCUUGGUCAGCCCAAGUCCUAUUGAAUGAGGCAUCAUGGAGGGUGAUAAUCCCGUCCGGUUGAUCAAUGCGUUUUACGAUACGCUCUCAAAGAGUCAAGUUGUUUGGGAUUGCAGCUUAAAAUGGGAGGUAAAUUUCUCCUAAGGCUAAAUAUUGGCGAGAGGCCGAUAGCGAACAAGUACCGUGAGGGAAAGAUGAAAAGAACUUUGAAAAGAGAGUAAAAUAGUGCGUGAAAUUGUUGAAAGGGAAACGAUUGAAGUCAGUCAUGCUAGUGAGGAAUCAACCGGAUGGUGCGUGGGUUCUCCCUCGUACUUUCCGGUGCACUUUCUCACCCGGCAGGUUAGCAUCAAUUUCGGUUAUCAUAAAAAAUUUGAGAGGAUGUGGCUUUCCUUCGGGAAAGUGUUAUAGAUCUCGAUCUAUGUGGUGACCGGGAUUGAGGAUUGCAGCGGAUACCCUCGUGGCUCGUCACCUGGCUUCUGACGGUUACCCCGCUUUCGAUAGCUCGCUAACGUUAGUGGGACUCGAUUGUCUAGAUGUCAGAGUGAUUGAUUUUCGCUAAGGAUGCUGACGUAAUGGCUUUAAACGACCCGUCUUGAAACACGGACCAAGGAGUCUAACAUGUAUGCGAGUU